rnacentral:rRNA from 1 species
UACGGAGGGUGCAAGCGUUAUCCGGAUUUAUUGGGUUUAAAGGGUCCGUAGGCGGGUCUUUAAGUCAGUGGUGAAAGCCUGCAGCUCAACUGUAGAACUGCCAUUGAUACUGGAGACCUUGAGUACAGCUGAAGUUGGCGGAAUGUGUCAUGUAGCGGUGAAAUGCAUAGAUAUGACACAGAACACCGAUUGCGAAGGCAGCUAACUAAACUGUAACUGACGCUGAGGGACGAAAGCGUGGGGAGCGAACAGG